rnacentral:rRNA from 1 species
AGUGAACGCUGGCGGUAGGCCUAACACAUGCAAGUCGAACGGCAGCACAGUAAGAGCUUGCUCUUACGGGUGGCGAGUGGCGGACGGGUGAGGAAUACAUCGGAAUCUACUUUUUCGUGGGGGAUAACGUAGGGAAACUUACGCUAAUACCGCAUACGACCUACGGGUGAAAGCAGGGGACCUUCGGACCUUGCGCGAUUGAAUGAGCCGAUGUCGGAUUAGCUAGUUGGCGGGGUAAAGGCCCACCAAGGCGACGAUCCGUAGCUGGUCUGAGAGGAUGAUCAGCCACACUGGAACUGAGACACGGUCCAGACUCCUACGGGAGGCAGCAGUGGGGAAUAUUGGACAAUGGGCGCAAGCCUGAUCCAGCCAUACCGCGUGGGUGAAGAAGGCCUUCGGGUUGUAAAGCCCUUUUGUUGGGAAAGAAAAGCAGCAGGUUAAUACCCCGCUGUCCUGACGGUACCCAAAGAAUAAGCACCGGCUAACUUCGUG